CGGGAGGCACUCAGAGAACGUUUGUGGAAUGAAUAAAUAAAAGCAUAUUUUGAGGGAAUAAAGAAGCAGAAAAACAAAGAAGAAUCUGGGGAAGAUGGGCAUAAAUCUCCACCAAGUGCUGCCAAGGCUUCCCAGGCGAGGCUGCUGAAAAGACCCUGUGGAGCGGCUGCUCUGCCUGGGAUAAACACAUUUCAAGAGUCUCAGUCCCCGCUUUGCCACCAUCUCCUCCUCUGAUCUCCUUUCCUGCUUCAAAAGACUCCAGAAUCUUCUCGGUUCUCAGAGAAGGCUGAAUCCACCUAUGACCUAGUGGGAGCACCCUGUGCCGAAACUGUUUACCUUCUGGUCCCCGGAGCCAUGGGUCACGACCUGGGCCUCAUGUAGGCCCGCUCCUCAGCAGACCCCAAUCUGCGGCUUCUCCCACCUCACUGGGGAAGAAGGAGAGCCCUGGGGAUGUGGAGAAGCCACCCCCCACCCCGCCACAUCCCCCACAUCUUACAGAAUCUCGAUUGAAUCCCCGGGGGCACAUCCCUCAGCAGGACAGCAACAGUCUUUGCCGCAGCCUGGGGAGGGCUGUGCUGGGGAUGAGCGCCGAGUGGCCGUGGACUAAGUGAAGGAAAUGACCAUGCUCUUCUCCCAGCUGGAUGGCGAGGCCGGGCAGGAACCGCGGAAUUCCUGCUCUUCGUUUUCAAACACUUUGCUGUCAAGCUAUUUGAAUAAUAAAUACACAUUAUAAAAAUGUAAA
rnacentral:lncRNA from 1 species